AUGCCUGCAUCGGCAACCUUGCUGCAACCAAGGCCGCAUCCUUGACCACUGGGCUUUCAGGCGUGAGUCACCACGGCCGGCCACGGGAGUUUUCUCUAUGGAAAUACCGCGUGGACCUUGUGCCGUGGAGUCCGGCGUGGAGCUGUCAGGCUGUGACCGGAAGCUGGAGCUUUAGGAUUCUGCUUAGUUCAUUUAGACUCCGGUGGCCCUGGCUCGCUCGUCGCUGCCACAUCGCCCGCCGAGCACAGCGAAUUCUGAGGAAGGAAGUCGCCAGAUCGGCUCCCACAGAGGAAACCCGUCCCUCCUGUUCCUACAACAAGAGGAAAGUGAUUUGAAGCAUCCACUUCAAGGAGAAGUCUGAGUGCGGAGAUCUCCUCAUCUGCAGCCACCUCUCCCGGCCAGGCCCCAUCACUGACAUCCCUGGGCAGGGAAAGGGACGCGAAGGGACGAACGUGCGAAGAGACAGGUGGAGAGCAGUUCCCUGCCUUCUUUACCACGCCUUGCUCGGGAUGUCUGUUCCCACUGCUUUAAGAAGCGUCCGGAGACAGUGAGAGGUGGCUCAGAGCGUGUCUGCCUCCAAGCCUGAUGACUUGAAUUUGGUAAAAGGAGAGUGUUCCUGCAAGCUGUCCUCUGCCCCCGUCCCCAAGCCGUAUCAAAAUGCAGUUUCUAGAGGAGCAUCAGGCGGGUGGGCUAGCAGGUGGCAGCGGCUCCCGACAUGGGCCUGGAUUUAAACGAUGAGGUUUAGGACGGUGUCUCCCCUCCACUGUGUUUUCAGGGGGCCUGGGGCAUAAGGGGCGU